GUACCGACCUGGCAGGGGAGAUACCAUGAUCACAAAGGUGGUGAAGGUGGCUUUCCCAGGGUGAGGCUUAUCCAUUGCAUUCCAGAUAUGCUGACCCCUGCGGUUUCCUCAAAUGUGGGAAAUUCCAAUGCAAAAGUUUUCAUAGUGGGAGCCUAAAAAUUAAAUUCAAUGAAAUGAUGGAGCUUCCCAU
rnacentral:snRNA from 10 species